rnacentral:rRNA from 1 species
UACGUAGGCAGCAAGCGUUGUUCGGAAUUACUGGGCGUAAAGAGUGUGUAGGCGGUGCUCUAAGUCUGUUGUGAAAUCUCCCGGCUUAACUGGGAGGGUGCGGCGGAAACUGGAGUGCUCGAGUGUGGGAGAGGUAAGCGGAAUUCCUGGUGUAGCGGUGAAAUGCGUAGAUAUCGGGAGGAACACCAGUGGCGAAGGCGGUUGCCUGGAGCUUUGCUGACGCUGAUGCGCGAAAGCGUGGGGAGCGAGUCCGGG